rnacentral:rRNA from 1 species
GACGAACGCUGGCGGCGUGCUUAACACAUGCAAGUCGAACGGAAAGGCCCUUCGGGGUACUCGAGUGGCGAACGGGUGAGUAACACGUGGGUAACCUGCCCUCAGCUUCGGGAUAACUCCGGGAAACCGGGGCUAAUACCGGAUAUUCAUUGUCUGCCGCAUGGUGGGUGGUGGAAAGUUUUUUUCGGCUGGGGAUGGGCCCGCGGCCUAUCAGCUUGUUGGUGGGGUGAUGGCCUACCAAGGCGUCGACGGGUAGCCGGCCUGAGAGGGCGACCGGCCACACUGGGACUGAGACACGGCCCAGACUCCUACGGGAGGCAGCAGUGGGGAAUAUUGCGCAAUGGGCGGAAGCCUGACGCAGCGACGCCGCGUGAGGGAUGACGGCCUUCGGGUUGUAAACCUCUUUCAGCAGGGACGAAUGUAGACGGUACCUGUAGAAGAAGCACCGGCAACUACGUG